GUUGGUACAUUCCCUUUCCGGUUGUUGAUAUUUGUAAAUUUGUCUUGGUGUUUGUAAAAUUGUGUUCUUGGUAAUUUUCUGGUGUGUUCUUGUUUUCUGAAAUUUAAAUUUGUUUCAGGACUUGUAAAUGUGUUAUGGUAAUGUAAUUUGUUUUAUGAUAUUUAAAAAUGUUUUCUAAAAUUUAAUUUGGUCUCAAGCUCUGUAAAAGUGUUUCAGAUUUUGUAAUGUUAGUUUGCACCUCCAGGCCACCGUACUUUUCAUUUGUGUGUGAGCCAAAUGUAGCACACGGCUCGAUACUAGAUCCUACAAAAUAUAAACCAUGGACCAGAAACAGAAGAUUUUCGGAUCGACUCACAGAAGCAAUUAUUAGCAAAGAUGAUAGUAAAAAUUAAUAAAAUAAAUGAACCACUCGGAAUACUGGAAUGUAGCUAAUUAAAAGGUACAAGAAUAUGGGAUGGCUCGCCAGUCCAAACCAGGGAUAAGGAUCCACAGCCAGGACAGAAUUCAAGAUCACAGCAGCAAUUCAGAAGCUCACAAAAGAGAGAAAUAAAACAAGAACCACAAAAAAAAAAAAACCCGGCC